AGGCCGCUGCUGCCUUGAAUUAUUGGUCUGCAAGCUGCCCACGCCAAGCCAUAAGAAGCUCAACAGUCCCCAUAAUGACAACAGAUCCUCCUGAACUACGUGGCUCACCAUGAUAUGUUUGCAACUUCACAGAUAGAUGGGUGUGAGCCCAAUCAGGAAAGCAGCAGUCUACAGUUUUGUAUCGUAUCGAGCGGGAAUGAUAAGAUUUCACAUACAAGCUUACUUGCUUAAAAGAGUGUUUUAUGACAACUGGAGAAGCAACAUGCUGAGUCCCAACUUGUUUUUUUUCUAUUCAAUGUAGCCAUGAGGACCAUAACAGAAACAAUGUACCAAGCUCCUACUUGG
rnacentral:lncRNA from 1 species